rnacentral:rRNA from 1 species
CGGCGGACGGGUGAGUAACGCGUGGGUAACCUGCCUUAUACAGGGGGAUAACAGUUAGAAAUGACUGCUAAUACCGCAUAAGCGCACAGUACCGCAUGGUACAGUGUGAAAAACUCCGGUGGUAUAAGAUGGACCCGCGUCUGAUUAGCCAGUUGGCGGGGUAAUGGCCCACCAAAGCGACGAUCAGUAGCCGACCUGAGAGGGUGACCGGCCACAUUGGGACUGAGACACGGCCCAAACUCCUACGGAAGGCAGCAG